rnacentral:rRNA from 1 species
UGGGGAAUAUUGGACAAUGGGCGAAAGCCUGAUCCAGCCAUGCCGCGUGUGUGAAGAAGGUCUUCGGAUUGUAAAGCACUUUAAGUUGGGAGGAAGGGCAGUAAGCGAAUACCUUGCUGUUUUGACGUUACCGACAGAAUAAGCACCGUCUAACUCUGUGCCAGCAGCCGCGGUAAUACAGAGGGUGCAAGCGUUAAUCGGAAUUACUGGGCGUAAAGCGCGCGUAGGUGGUUCGUUAAGUUGAAUGUGAAAGCCCCGGGCUCAACCUGGGAACUGCAUCCAAAACUGGCGGGCUAGAGUAGGGCAGAGGGUGGUGGAAUUUCCUGUGUAGCGGUGAAAUGCGUAGAUAUAGGAAGGAACACCAGUGGCGAAGGCGACCACCUGGGCUCAUACUGACACUGAGGUGCGAAAGCGUGGGGAGCAAACAGG